CCAAAUGGUACACAAAUUCAGAAGUCUUUAUUUUGAAAAAAAUUCUUCCAACAGUAUUUCACAAUGAACAAGAACUUAACCAAAUUUAUCUAUCAUACUAAAGUAUUUCAGAAAUGAAUAUUGAAAACAGCCUGUAAGUUUUCAUCCAAUAUUUAAAACCACCUCCUGAACUAAAAUUGGUCUUCAAAAAUCAUGGCGUAUUAACAUUUUCCAAACAUGCCCUGCUGACUAGAAGGUCCUGUUAUUCUUUCUUUUGAACUUCCCAGUAAGUUUCCUUGUUCCCUAUUCCUAGGAUUUAAAGUGCAAAGGUACUUUUUAUGAGCUAUUAGGACAAGUAUUCUUCAUUGAAAAUAAACUUUUGCAGAAAACAAAUCCUGUGCUUGACUAACAGCAAAGACAUGUUAAGAAAUUUCUGAGCUCCAAACCAUGAGGAAUCAGAAUCACAACUUUCAGAGUAAUAACUCACAUUUUUUCUAAAGCAUAGGAAGCUAAUUUUGUAUAAUGAACAAAUGUGGUUGUGCCAAAAUAGGUUUUGCCACAGUUAAUUUCCACUUUCUCUUCUUAAAAAUAAGGUAUAGUCUAAGCUAAUGUAGAUAAGGAAAGGCACGAUACCAACAAACUGCAAAACAAAGUAUAGCCCCAAGCCAUGCACUUUUUAGAGUCAUGAGUAGGGACAAUGAAAAAAUUAAGGUGCAAAAUAGAUGUGAACUUCCACAAUCUUUCAAUGGACUGUCUUAACAGUUUAAUUUAAAAGCAUAGGCUUUUUCAUAUAUCUUCAGAUAGUCAGAGAGAUUUUUUUUCUUCUUUAAAUGGAAGAAUUUCUUAAAUGGAAGCACAAGAUCAUACCUACACAGCUGGUGAGCCUCAAAAUAGAAUAAUGUCUACUUUAUUAAUAAAGUUUCCAGUCAGGCAGAAUCAAGAGUAAUCUUCAUAUAUGCAUAAGGAUAUUAUCAUUAUAACAAUAUUUUUAGUAGAAAAGUCUAUAAACAAAUGUUCUCCCAAAGGGACAUCCAUAUAAUGGAAUCCUGGAGACAUUAAUGUUAGAGCUGGAAGGUGGCAAUAUGGAAAGACAACCAAGUUAAACAAGAACCAAGUCACAAACUUGAACAUUUAAAAUAAGAACAGGAAGAGGCAUACAGAGAGAGAGCCAUAUAUAAAAUAAACGAUAACAUUUCUUAAAGACUACACAAGAAUACAAGAAAUUAUAUGCCUCUGGGGUAUGAGAAUAAAGUCACAGAGGGAGACACACUUUUUGACUUUAUGCCCUUUGUGUAUACUGCAUAAUUUUUAGAAAUCAUAAGCAUAUAUUAUAGCAUACAAAAAACCUUUAAAGUCUUUAAAAAACCUGAUUGUAACCAAAGCAUUCUAUGAAACAUUGACUAUGUAAGAUUAGUUUACAAUCCCUUGCUGCCUUUAGUUAAUGAUCAUAUAGUCAAAAUUAGAAGGCUCCUUGGCGUUUGCUUCCUCUGUCUCUCCACUCAAGAAUGAGGGAAGAUGCUGAGAAUUUAGAAUUCAAAUUUUACUCUCAUUGCUUAAAUUGUAACUUGGAUAACAUCUCAAGAUUUCAGAGAACCGAUUAAAAAAUUAAUCUAUGGGCAUUUUAAUCACCAUCUAAAAUAUUUUAUCUAGGAUCACUUAUCUUUUUUUAUAAAAGCUCAAAUCACAACAUUCUCUUUUCAUCAGUCCCUACAGCCCUGUGUUGGACAAGCACAGAUGUCAAAAAUACACUUAAAUAUACGUUGAAUUUUUAUCCACUAGAAUAAAAUAAGCAGAAUGAUAUGCAUUCUUGGCGAUAGUCUUCACUGGAAAAUACCACUGUCAGCCCAAACUUACACAACUGACUUCAAAAUCAGACUAAGAUGUGGCAUAAGAAGAGCUAUUUCCUACCUUCACUAUAUAUUCAGGAUUUGCCAACUCCAAGGCCUUGAAAAACAUGUGAAUGUUUGAGACUAAGAAAAAUUGGGAAUGGUAAGCUAGUGGCCACCUUAAGAGUACAUGCCCCAUUUCAAAAAGAUGGAUUCAGAAUGCAACGUUUUAAAACACUGUGCUGGUCACACAAAACAGAACUGCAGACAGAAUUCAGUGUAAGCCUUGAAUGUGCAACCCCUAUAAGAGCACAAUAAUUGGACUUUUUAAAACCAAGGUUCACGAUACUUGGGUCUUUGCAGAUUAAAUACCUCAGUGCCCAGUAUAUCUCUAAAAAUAAACAAGUGUUCAAAUGCUUGCUAAAUGAAUUAACAAUAUAAAAGCUCUCCAAAUACUGGAUAUAAUCAUCAAAUGACCAAUACAUUUAAUUAAUGAGUUGUGGAAUUGUAUGUCCUUUGCUGUGCUGAAGCUGGUUUGCCAAGGCUUGGGAAAGCCACUGGUUGGCUAUCUCUUUCAUCAAACUGCAUUUAAUGACAUCAGAUUGGCAGGGGGGCGGGGAAUUUCACAGGUAAAGCACUAAUGUGCUUUUACAAAUUAACAGAAGGACUUAUUUUGAGGAAGAAAGUGAUUACCAAAACUCUAUUUUCACAAAAAUAAUAAAAUAUUCUCUAUUUCAAAAAAUGGGGAAAAAAUGUCUUUAAACUAUGUCAAAAGUUUGCCAUCCUGAAAAAAGAUCUUUCCUGAACAGGGAUAUCUGCAGAUACCUGAACAGGAAAAAUGAUGUGACUAAACCAGUAAGCCAGGAAAUUUGAAGGUCUUCAGCCUUGUUACCUUCCAGGAUUUUUUCUCCUUUUUAGUACUCAACAUAAUUUUGAUGGUCUAUAUAAAACUAGAAUAAAUCUAAAUGUAAAAGUCUAACGAAAGCUGAUUUUCUUUAAUAAUAAACAGUGAAUAUCAUGAGAAAAACCACUUUAAAGCUACCUCUCUUCUUUUUUUCAUUUUUUAGAGAUGGGAUCUCACUCUAUCCCCAGGCUGGUGUGCAGUGGUGUGAUCGUAGCGCACUGCAGCCUCCAACUCCUGGGCUCAAGUGAUGUUCCCACCUCACCUCCAGGUAGCUAGGACUCACAGGCUCUCACACCACCAUACCCAGCUUGGGUCUCUUCUUGAACUAAACAUUUUUAUUUUAUAAGCGCUAAUUUAAAGUCAGUAAGAGCCCCCAUUUAAUUACAAACUUCAAUAGUUACCCAGAAAAAGAAAUAGUCUUUAAAAUCAUUUUGAUAACAACUGUUUAAUUUACUAUUCAG
rnacentral:lncRNA from 1 species